UUGCUCACUGAACGCUGCUGUUUUCCUUCCUGUGUCUAAUCCUUGUGCUUCCUUUUCCCCGCCAUGUGCUCUCCUGUGUUUGUUUGUUUAUGCCAUGUGCCCUCUUGUUGUUGUCCGUGUCUCCACCCCUCACCUGUUCCCAAUCAUCACCCGGUUUGUUAGUCUGAUUGGUUUCUCCUGUGUUCUGUCAAUUCCCCAAUCCACUGUGUCUCAUUGUCUGCCCCACCUUGAUUGUUCUCACCUGUCCCUCGUUAUCUGUUGUGCGUGUGUGGAUAUAGUCCAUGUUUUCUUGUUACUCGUUGUCAUUAAUGUUACGUGAUUGUUUUGCCGUGUUUCUCAAGUUCCGUGAUUAUUAAUUAAGUUUCUAGUGUUGCCGACCUCAGACUAUUAUCUCGACUAUUCUCUUGCUUAUGCCCAUUUGGUUUUGUUUGCCUGCUCUUGGACUGUCUACCCGUGUACCAAAUCCUGUUAAGUAAAACAUUUACCCUUCCAUCUACUGCUGUGUUUUGAGUCGUGCGUUUUGAGUCCUGCACAUCACCCUCAAUUCGUAACAUGGCUGGCCUCAACUUCGAAUAUGCAGAGUUAUUUGGGUUGCCCGUAGCUGGAGGUCUCGCAAGUCACGAUCAACUGCUGCAUGGACCUAUAAUCACGCACCAAUAUAUUCGAUCUACAACACCCAAUUUAUAUUAUCCUAUCGAUGGUGCCCGGCCUACAUCGCAGUAGUUAUAACACUGGACCCAAUACAAACUCCGCAAUAACAGCGCUGGAAGAACUCUAGGACGAUGUGGGUGAACCUGGGUCGUACAUGAGCCAACUACUGGGUCCUAAUCAACCACGGCGAGUGUCCAUGAAAAGACUGUGCACGGAAUCAGCCAACACUAAAUCGAUCAAGAAUGUUAACACAGCCAUUGUGUUUGACGAGCUGGUGCUGGGUAAAACGGUGUUGAUAUAACCGUUAGCAUGUAACCAAAUAUGCCUAGUCAUACUAUUUGAAUGGGGUUCCAGGUAUAAACGUUUGUGUGUUUACUGGGUGUUAACUAUAUGAUUUUGUCAAUAUGCUAUUUUCAGACAUCCAACUAGCUGAGGUGGUUUGUGGGGCUAGUGACACAGGGGAAUUGCCAGACCAGCUGACCAGUAUCUGCGCUUGGACAGACAGCGAUAACCGAUUGGGAUCAAGCGGGGUUCAUCUGUGACACCGGAGCGGUCACACCUGAAACAGCAGCAGGCGAGAACGAUCAACAAAGACGUGACGGGGAGCUUAACAACGUUGGUGACUCAGCAGUGGCUACGCCGGAAACAUGGAAACACGUCAGCCUACAGACAGCUAUCAACGAUAAUUCUGGACUUGUACCAUGAUCAUUCUCAACAAACAGCGGGUCCCAACACACAGACCCAAGCGAUUGAUCAGAGGUAUGGGCAAUGCAUUAUUGAAAAUGGUGAUGUGGUGGGUGCAGCUAGUACAAGGCGUUUGAAUAGAGUUAGCAUCACGCGUGAGAUAUCUAACCCAAGAAAUACGUAGCAUAAAGACAG